UCUUCUUUCUCCAUGGUAACAGAACCUUUCAUAGUUAACACCAUCACCUCUAGAGCUCAAGUGUUUCUCCAAAUAUGUUAUUGCUGGCUGAGUGUUUGUGAAGCCUCUUCUAUUGGUCUCCCACCAGCCUGGAGAGCCCAGGUCUUCUGACUUCCAAUCCUGUGCCCAUUCCACUACCCUGAAGACAAUCAAAACCCAGCCUAUUCCCCAAGACGAAUGGACCUUAAGAAUAGUGGGCUUCUCCUACAAUCUCUGACCAAAUGACGCAGCAGAAAUGAAAAAUCCCAACUCUUCAGGAUGCUCAGUGACGACCAGCGGAGAGACACUGGGAGGCUUCAGUAGCUCAGAAACAAUUGAGUUUAGCACCCAGUGAGCCAGCACAAUUGGUGCCAAUGGGAAGCUACCAGAUGACUAGUUUCUGCUCUUAAUUCAAGGGAGAGAGUUCUGGAUUCCAAGUCAGAAGACCUGGGUUCAAAACCUCUGCCACUAUGUGAUCUUGGGCAAAUCACUUAAUAGCUCUUUGCCUCAGUUUCCUUGACUGUAACAUAAAAGAGUUGAAAUUGAUUACCCCAAAAAUGCCUUCUAUUUCUAAAUCCAUGACUUUAUGAUUAUACCUUCCUCCUUGGUCUCCCAAGAAGCCUGUACAAGGCCUGGCAAUGGAAAGAUACUUCCUUGCUGUGUGACCCUGGGAAAGUCACUUAACCCUGAUUGCCUUGCCCUGACUGCUCUUCUGUCUUAGAAUUGAUACCACAAUAUGGGAGUUGUUGUUGUUGUUGUUUUAAGAUAAACAGAAUUUAAUGUAUGGGGAGAAAUAAUGAGAUGCUCCAUAACCCAAAAUUCUAGGCUUGGAAAUUCUUGAACCCCUAAAAAUUACAUUACCCAAAAUUCCUUUCUGUAUUAUCUAGAAUCCUUUUUCUUCCCCCUUCCCCAUCCUCACAUUUACAUGGUUGUAUUUAAGUUUGCUGUGCCUCCUCUUUCUUCUUCCUUGAGGUGAGUUAGGCAGGUUUUACUCUAGUUUUUUUUAAUUUAUUAAUAAAUCUUGUAAAUAUAAUACUUGAGUUAUUGUA
rnacentral:lncRNA from 1 species